rnacentral:rRNA from 1 species
GAUGAACGCUGGCGGCGUGCCUAAUACAUGCAAGUCGAACGAAGAUGUUCUUGUGUUCGCACGAGAGCUCUUAGUGGCGGACGGGUGAGUAACGCGUUGGUGACCUGCCCUAAAGAAGGGAACAACCUUGGGAAACUGAGGCUAAUACCCUAUGUGCUUCUAAAGAUUAGAUGCUUUUGAAGUAAAGGUUCUGUGGACGAAAGGACACAGUGCCGCUUUAGGAGGGGCCUGCGUCCCAUCAGCUAGUUGGUAGGGUAAUGGCCUACCAAGGCAAUGACGGGUAGGGGACCUGAGAGGGUGACCCCCCACACUAGCACUGAAACACGGGCUAGACACCUACGGGUGGCUG